UGCAAGAGAACAAGCAUAAUGCACCCAGCCCCAGCCUCUCCGGAGGUGUGCCUGUGUGCCUGUCGGGUCUUCAGUCCNUGAAGCUGUGCAGAGACCACAAUGUGUCAGUGUCACUAAAUGUGUGCUGCUCAGAGGCUGGGCACGUAGCUCAGUGAUAGAUUCUUUCUGGCCUUGGGAGGGAGACCCCAGAGGUGAAGUGACAUCAAGACACGUCACGUGACCUAUCAAGCCUGCAGGCACAGCGGAAGCUGCAAGAGAACUGUGACACGUGACAGCCUACAGAUCACACCUGGAGGUUCAAGACUGUCACUUCUUUCAAGAGGGAGCCUGGCUGCGAAUAAGGAGGAGCUGAAACCAUGAUCUGUUUCCCAGGGGACUAGUAGGGAAAAAUGGCACCNGCCGGCGCAGCCUCAGANCCAUGUCAGGCCAUCCUAACAAAGCCUGGCUUUCUGUAACUCACAGCCGAGCCCNGGAGGCUGACACCCUACAAGGGCCCCAGAGGACCCUCCCUACUGCAGGGCUUCUCACUCCACUUUCAACUUAAGGCUGCCCUAGGGGAAGAGGANUUGGGGGGUAGGGGCGAAGCUUUCNGGGAAAUUCAGCCCUUUUCAAGAGGCUUCUGGGAGUUGUAGUUCAUAUAGGUCCUUGCAUGCAAGCACGUUUCUGUGUUCGUCCCCCGUCCCUUCCCCCCCACCCCCCACCUCUUUGAGGCUUCUAUUACUCCAGAACCCCGGGAAAGGUCAUAGNUUCUAGUUCCUGGAGGCAUCCGACCUGAUGGAUUCAUGGCAGAAAAUGAACUUUUGAGAUAUGAAAUAUAAUUCUACACUCGUCUUUUAACGGAUUACUGUGCAUCGCUUUGCUGUAUCAGGCCUGACUCAUUCUCUCACCUAUGUAUUUUUAAAACGUCUUUAUUUAUGACUUUCAAGAACUCUGAUAUGCAACAUGAUGGGGAAAUUUCAGACACCUUUUUCAGUUAGA